rnacentral:rRNA from 1 species
UUGUCCUUAGUUACCAGCACGUUAUGGUGGGCACUCUAAGGAGACUGCCGGUGACAAACCGGAGGAAGGUGGGGAUGACGUCAAGUCAUCAUGGCCCUUACGGCCUGGGCUACACACGUGCUACAAUGGUCGGUACAGAGGGUUGCCAAGCCGCGAGGUGGAGCUAAUCUCACAAAACCGAUCGUAGUCCGGAUCGCAGUCUGCAACUCGACUGCGUGAAGUCGGAAUCGCUAGUAAUCGCGAAUCAGAAUGUCGCGGUGAAUACGUUCCCGGGCCUUGUACACACCGCCCGUCACACCAUGGGAGUGGGUUGCACCAGAAGUAGCUAGUCUAACCUUCGGGGGGACGGUUACCACGGUGUGAUUCAUGACUGGGGUGAAGUCGUAACAAGGUAGCCGUAGGGGAACCUGCGGCUGGAUCACCUCCUUAAUCGACGACA